rnacentral:RNase_P_RNA from 1 species
CCAGGGGACCGGGCAGCCGCGUCGUAGCUUGCUACGCCGAGGAAAGUCCGGGCUCCGCGAAACGAAGGUGGCGGGUAACGCCCGCCCGGUGAGUAUCUUCGGACGCGAGCCGAGGGAAAGUGCCACAGAGAGUAUACCGCCGAUGGCCCCUGAAGGGCACAGGCAAGGGUGAAAGGGUGCGGUAACAGCGCACCGGGCGGCCGGUAACGGACGUCGCAAGGCAAACCCCACCUGGAGCAAGACCGAAUAGGGGUCUCGUGCUGUCAAAAGCAGGGGUGUUUCGUCCCGAGAGGCCCGGGUUGGUUGCUGGAGCCGCAUGGCAACAUGCGGCCGAGAUGAAUGGCUGCCCCUGCGGCGUGGGUCUUUCGAGAUACCGCCCGUGGGACAGAACCCGGCUUACAGGUCCCCUGGCACU